GCCGGGCGCAGUGGCGGGCACCUGUAGUCCCAGCUACUGGGGAGGCUGAGGUAGGAGAAUGGCGUGAACCCGCGAGGCGGAGCUUGCAGUGAGCCGAGAUCUGGCCACUGCACUCCAGCCCGGGCGACAGAGCAAGACUNNNNNNNNNNGUUAGACGGAGUCUUGCUCUGUCGCCCGGGCUGGAGUGCAGUGGCCAGAUCUCAGCUCACUGCAAGCUCCGCCUCCCGGGUUCACGCCAUUCUCCAGUCUCAG
rnacentral:SRP_RNA from 1 species